rnacentral:rRNA from 1 species
CUCAAAUAAAUUGGCGGGAACCCGCACAAGCGGUGGAGCAUGUGGUUUAAUUCGAAGCAACGCGCAGAACCUUACCACCUUUUGACAUGCCUGGACCGCCACGGAGACGUGGCUUUCCCUUCGGGGACUAGGACACAGGUGCUGCAUGGCUGUCGUCAGCUCGUGUCGUGAAAAAAUUGGGUUAAGUCCCGCAACGAGCGCAACCCUCGCCAUUAGUUGCCAUCAUUCAGUUGGGAACUCUAAUGGGACUGCCGGUGCUAAGCCGGAGGAAGGUGGGGAUGACGUCAAGUCCUCAUGGCCCUUACAGGGUGGGCUACACACGUGCUACAAUGGCGACUACAGAGGGUUAAUCCUUAAAAGUCGUCUCAGUUCGGAUUGUCCUCUGCGUCUCGAGGGCAUGAAGUUGGAAUCGCUAGUAAUCGCGGAUCAGCAUGCCGCGGUGAAUACGUUCCCUUUUUUGUACACACCGCCCG